GACGAACGCUGGCGGCGUGCUUAACACAUGCAAGUCGAACGAGACGAUUGAAAGCUUGCUUUCGAAAGUCGAGUGGCAAACGGGUGAGUAACGCGUAGACAACCUGCCUUUGAGAUGGGGACAACAGUUCGAAAGGACUGCUAAUACCGAAUGUUGUAUAUUUUCCACAUGGAAGAUAUAUUAAAGAUGGCCUCUAUUUAUAAGCUAUCGCUCAAAGAUGGGUCUGCGUCUGAUUAGCUGGUUGGUGGGGUAACGGCCUACCAAGGCGACGAUCAGUAGCCGGUCUGAGAGGAUGAACGGCCACAUUGGGACUGAGACACGGCCCAGACUCCUACGGGAGGCAGCAGUGGGGAAUCUUCCACAAUGGGCGAAAGUCUGAUGGAGCAACGCCGCGUGAGUGAAGAAGGGUUUCGGCUCGUAAAGCUCUGUUGUCGGGGACGAAUGUGCAGUAUUUGAAUAAAGUACUGCAAUGACGGUACCUGACGAGGAAGCCACGGCUAACUACGUGCCAGCCGCCGCAGUAA
rnacentral:rRNA from 1 species